rnacentral:rRNA from 1 species
AUUGAACGCUGGCGGUAGGCCUAACACAUGCAAGUCGAACGGCAGCACAGUAAGAGCUUGCUCUUACGGGUGGCGAGUGGCGGACGGGUGAGGAAUCCAUCGGACUCUACUUUUUCGUGGGGGAUCACGUAGGGACACUUACUCUUAUACCGCAUACGACCUACGGGUGAAAGCAGGGGAUCUUCGGACCUUGCGCGAUUGAAUGAGCCGAUGUCGGAUUAGCUAGUUGGCGGGGUAAAGGCCCACCAAGGGGACGAUCCGUAGCUGGUCUGAGAGGAUGAUCAGCCACACUGGAACUGAGACACGGUCCAGACUCCUACGGGAGGCAGCAGGGGGGAAUAUUGGACAAGGGGCGCAAGCCUGAUCCAGCCAUACCGCGGGGGUGAAGAAGGCCUUCGGGUGGUAAAGCCCUUUUGUUGGGAAAGAAAAGCAGCAGGUUAAAACCCCGCUGUUCUGACGGUACCCAAAGAGUAAGAACCGGCUAACUUCGU